UACGUAGGGGGCAAGCGUUGUCCGGAUUUAUUGGGCGUAAAGAGCGUGUAGGCGGCCUGAAAGGUCAGCUGUGAAAACUUGAGGCUCAACCUCGAGACGUCGGUUGAAACCAUCUGGCUAGAGUCCGGAAGAGGAGUGUGGAAUUCCCGGUGUAGCGGUGAAAUGCGCAGAUAUCGGGAAGAACACCCGCGGCGAAGGCGGCACUCUGGGACGGUACUGACGCUGAGACGCGAAAGCGUGGGGAGCGAACAGG
rnacentral:rRNA from 1 species